AAAAAGAAAUAUACAAUUAGAACUCAGACAAUCCAACCACUAGCAAGGAAUAUGUACACCAUUUCCUUUGACCAUACCCAAAAAUAGAACUCCCCAAAAAGUUUCCCACCGACGGCGCACUCGCUCUAUUCGCCGCUAACCGAGGAACUUGAAAAGAUUAAAGAAUGAGUGGAAUGAGCAACAACGGCUCAGUGAGUAGUACAUAUCUUCUAAGCAGAUCGAACAACCACUAUGCAUGUAUACAAAACAAUACCAAACCUUAUAAUGCCAACUUAAUAUAUAAAAUACAUAUCAAAUCAUAUAAGAGUUAUUUGAUAUCAUCAAAGCUUUGUACUAAUAUGAAAAACUCAUUUAAAUCAUCAUCAAAAGUCAAGUAUCAAUGGUCAAGUCCAUUGAAUAAUCUCUCCAUCAAAUAUCGCAUAUCAAUGGUCCAUCCAUUGAUUAAUCUAUUGCUCAAUAUUCCACCAUGGUCACGACACAACGCCUUGUGACAAGGCGACCAAGCUUUUCCCCUUGGCAAGGUCUCCACCUACAAAGCCGAUAGUUGAGCCCAGAAGGAUAUCCUAAACCUGGUAUGCAUACCCAAAAACCUCUCACUGGGUUCACAGUCAUAUUGAGCAUAAAUAACCAUCCUCAAAUACCGGAAAUCCAAUCCAUAAAUCAAUGUCUUAAACCAAACAAAUAACAAUUGCAGCAUAGCCCAUCAUCCAUUUCAUAUUGAUUUCUCAAAUCAUUAUAAACCUUUCCAUAAAUCAAUCGCAAAGCAAUUUCAUCUAUAUAUAUAUUCUCCACUUACUUUGUAUAACACGCUUUUCAAACAUUCAAAAUCAACCAAAGAGUAGCAAUUGCUCGAUCUGGCUUUUAUGCAUAAAAAUGCUCUCCUCAAUUCAAUGUAUAUACAUAUAUACUUCAAGACAUGAAUUUUUCAAAACCAAAGAAGAUAUAGUACCACUCACCUCGUCGCCUAUGACCAAACGACGAACGAUACUCGUAUCGUCGAACUCAAGGCCCUAUCAAAUAAUCGAGGAAUAAUGUUAAAAUCUAAUAAAACUCUUAUCUUAACUACGAAAUGACUAACUUAUGCCUUAACUCUAACAAAAGGACUUCUACGCGCUAAUAAAUCGCAUAACUAAAGCAAUUGCUCAAGUCGUUCGCAACACGGAGUUUAAGCGAAAAACUUGAUCACGCCUUAACUUCCUCCUUCGAACCCCGAUCCAAAUGAAUUUAUAGUCAAUAGAGAGCCCUUGACACAUAUAACAAGAAUCCCAACUUCACCGUCCCAAAAUCAAGCCGAAAGAUGACAAAAUACGGCCCCAAAGCUGCUGGACGCGUACUGUUCACUGAGCGCGGGAAACUUUGAAAUUUUGUUUCGGACAAACCACAAGCUCAAAUCACGAUCCGUAAAAUCCCACGGCUUCACAACACCCUAAACUAUCAUUCCCACAAAAAUACACGGCUCAAUGACUCCAAAAUCGGACUUCGCCACUUGAUUUUCCAACAAUUCCGAAUUUGAGCCCUAAACUCAUAAAUAACUUCAAUUGGACGAACGAGGGGCCUAAUCUCUUACCGGGUGUUGCGUUAUGGAGUAGAGUCGGCUUGGCGAAGCAUCCGUGACGUGCACAUGCUAAAACCCUUUUCCUUUCUUCCCUUUUCUCUUCUUCUUCUUCUUCUUCUUCUUCUUUUCUUUCUUUGCUUUCUGGUGCCCGAACGUGGGCUUUCUUCCUUUUUAUCUCAUCCCUUUUCUUUUUGUUUUCUUUUUCUUUUUUUUUUCUUCCUCUCUCUCUCUCUCUCUCCUCUUUUCCCUCUCUCCCGAAGACUCUCGAUUCCUCUCUCUUUCCUGUAGCUUCUACCUUUUUCUUUUCUUCUUUGACUUUUCAACAUUUCUUUCCUUCUUUUGGGGCCACCAGCCUACUAUUACAGUUCUAAUCUCGAACAUAGGAAAUUUCUUUUCUUUUUGGGUAUCGAUGCUCAAGAACAGAAUGGAACGACAGGAAUAAGAGG
rnacentral:lncRNA from 1 species